UACAGACCCAGGUACUGAUAGCUCAUUCUGGAGGUCUCAACUUUCAUUGGGAGAUGGGCUCAGGAUUUUUCAAGCUCUUGCCUCAGAGGACACAACAGAUCACUUGGAGGCAUGAUUGCAUAAAAUGGAUAAAAACUGGAAAAAUACCUGUACGUAGCAACGGUUUGCUCCAGUAAGGCGUAGCUAAACUGAAAAGGACCCAUGCAGCUCUCCUAAUGUGAUUCACCAAGAUAAUUCCAUCAAUGUUCAACCAUCAUAUGAAGCCAAUAUAUUAAAACAGAAUUUUACAUCUGAGUCUUACUUUUAUAUCAAGGAUUUUUAUGAAUGUGUCAGCAUGUUAUUUUUCAAAUAUUAUGUUUCAGACUAAAAUUGUUUUAUAUAAUUCUUGCAAAUAUGAAAUACAGGUUUGUGAAAAAAUA